AGAACUUAAGGUGGAGGUCAGGAGGGUUGACUAUGGAGAUGUUGUUUGCGUCUCUCUUUGGGAUGUUAAGGAACUGUGUGGAGAAGCAGCAUCCAUACCUGUGCAAGCGCUGCAGGUCUCUCUGGUGAACGUGAGGCCAGUGAAUGGAGAAACAUGGUCUUUUGAAACGAUCAGCUGGUUCAAGAGUAAAGCGCAGAACAAGACUCUUUAUGCCAGGCUUUACCCAGAAGAAGGAGAAGUUUUGGUUGAGCUCUUCAUGGAGAAGGGAAAGAUUGGUGCUAUGAGGUGAUGUCCCAGAACAAACCAGACAGCAGUCGUUACAGUGGGAGAAGUAUCUGAUCUCCUGUUACAGUCACAACAGAGAAUAAUGUUCAGUGAUCAGAAAACU
ensembl:lncRNA